rnacentral:rRNA from 1 species
CCUACGGGUGGCAGCAGUGAGGAAUAUUGGUCAAUGGACGCAAGUCUGAACCAGCCAUGCCGCGUGCAGGAAGACGGCUCUAUGAGUUGUACACUGCUUUUGUACGCGGGUAAACGCGACUCCGUGUAUCUGUCUGAAAGUAUCGUACGAAUAAGGAUCGGCUAACUCCGUGCCAGCAGCCGCGGUAAUACGGAGGAUUCAAGCGUUAUCCGGAUUUAUUGGGUGUAAAGGGUGCGUAGGCGGGCGGAUAAGUUAGAGGUGAAAUCACUAGGCUCAACCUCGGAAUUGCAUCUGAUACUGUGCGGCUAGAGAGCAGGAGCGGUAGGUGGAAUGUUUGGUGUAGCGGUGAAAUGCUUAGAUAUCAGGCAGAACACCGAUUGCGAAGGCAGCUUACUGGGCU